GGAAGUAAGAGUCGUAACAAGGUUUCCGUAGGUGAACCUGCGGAAGGAUCAUUAUUGUAUAACCGAGGUGCGAGGGCUGUCGCUGACCCGAAAGGUCGUGCACGCCCGAGUGCCCUCACACACAUCCAUCUCACCCCUAUGUGCACCACCGCGUGGGUCCCCCUUUGGCUUGUUCGGAGGGGGGCUUACGUUUUCACACAAACUUUGUAUGCAGUGUAGAAUGUAUUUUUUGUUUUUGCGAUCACGCAAUCAAUACAACUUUCAACAGCGGAUCUCUUGGCUCUC
rnacentral:misc_RNA from 1 species